rnacentral:rRNA from 1 species
AUUGAACGCUGGCGGCAUGCCUUACACAUGCAAGUCGAACGGCAGCACGGGGCAACCCUGGUGGCGAGUGGCGAACGGGUGAGUAACAUAUCGGAACGUGCCCUGGAGUGGGGGAGUAACUAGUCGAAAGGACUAGCUAAUACCGCAUACGAUCUACGGAGUGAAAGUGGGGGAGUCGCAAGACCUCAUGCUCGUGGAGCGGCCGAUAUCUGAUUAGCAGUU